ACAGCGUCCUCUUUGUGUGUGAAGGACGGAAGGCAUACUGGUUCUGAUGACUCACAGGCAGCAGUGAGUAGGAGGGAGAAAGUCUGAGCAUUGCCUAGAAGCAACCCUUCCGCUUCAACAGGCACACCGACAAUGCAGCAAGGAACAAAUGAUUCAAACCUCCUCGUCUAAAAACGUCACCUGUGAAAUCCCAGAUGCAGUGGGAACUGCUUUGAUGUCUAAUUGGGUUACCCUUUUACUUAGUCUCAGGGUCAGUGAGAUCGUCAUAUCAAAGGAAGUUCAUCUUGGUUUCUAAAUGCCUUCGUUGAACAUCAUCCUUUAUGUCACUGUGCUGGGCCUUCUCUGAAGACGAUACUAAACCGACAAGGGCCACAGGACCCAGAGAUGAUGACCAAUUAUCCUAUAGUUUCCAGGAAACGUUUACAUUUCUUGAAAUUCAAAAUAAACAAGUAUUUGUAAAGUCAACUUGAAAAAAUAUAUUACUUUUGUGCUCUCAUUUCCUAUGAUUUUUUCAUAUAAUUCUCAAGAAAUACUACGGUAGGUUUUUGUUAUUUGUUUUUUGAGACAGGAUUUCUUUGUGGAACAGCUCUGGCUGUCCUGGAACUUGCUCUGUAGACUAGGCUGCCCUUGAACUUCAGAGAUCGUCCUACUUCUGCCUCCGGAUUGCUGGGAUUAAAGGUGUGCCCUAUUACUGCCCAGCAUAUCAUAAAUUCUUGAGACAGCUCAAUGAGCUAAGGUAUUUAUUGCUGAGCUUGACAACCUAAAUUUAAUUCCUAGGACCCACAUGGUGGAAGGAGAGGACUGAACCCCACAAGUUGUACUCUGACCUUCAAGUGCAUCUGUGCAUAAAAAAACAAAUUAAGUAAAUGCAGUAACAAAGAAUAGUCUUGUUCAAAUCACACUCAUGAAUAAAGGUGUAUGUUCAUUUUAUCUUAGAUUUUCUCUAAGUUGGAAUUUAUUUUUAAUUAAUUAUUUUGGAUUUUCAAGACAGGGUUUCUCUGUGUAGCCCUGGCUAUCCUUGAACUUGUUCUGUAAACUAGGUUGGUCUGGAACUCAAGUGCUGGGAUUAAAGGUGUGUGCCAUCACCAUGCAGCUUUGGAAUUUAUUUUUUGUGCUUGAGUGUUUGCCUGCAUGUAUGUAAGUUAACUGUGUGUGCAGUGCUCCUGAAAGACUGAAGAGAGUGUUGGAUUCCCUGAACUAGUUACAGAUGGUUGUGAGCAGCUGGGAACUGAACCCUAGCUCCUUGCAAGAGCAGCAGGUGCUCCUAACUACCGG
rnacentral:lncRNA from 1 species